rnacentral:rRNA from 1 species
CAGGUCUUGACAUCCUCUGACACUCCUAGAGAUAGGACGUUCCCCUUCGGGGGACAGAGUGACAGGUGGUGCAUGGUUGUCGUCAGCUCGUGUCGUGAGAUGUUGGGUUAAGUCCCGCAACGAGCGCAACCCUUGAUCUUAGUUGCCAGCAUUCAGUUGGGCACUCUAAGGUGACUGCCGGUGACAAACCGGAGGAAGGUGGGGAUGACGUCAAAUCAUCAUGCCCCUUAUGACCUGGGCUACACACGUGCUACAAUGGAUGGUACAAAGGGNUGCAAGACCGCGAGGUUUAGCCAAUCCCAUAAAACCAUUCUCAGUUCGGAUUGUAGGCUGCAACUCGCCUNCAUGAAGCCGGAAUCGCUAGUAAUCGUGGAUCAGCAUGCCACGGUGAAUACGUUCCC